GACGAACGCUGGCGGCGUGCUUAACACAUGCAAGUCGAACGGAAAGGCCCUGCUUUUGUGGGGUGCUCGAGUGGCGAACGGGUGAGUAACACGUGAGUAACCUGCCCUUGACUUUGGGAGAACUUCAGGAAACUGGGGCUAAUACCGGAUAGGAGCUCCUGCUGCAUGGUGGGGGUUGGAAAGUUUCGGCGGUUGGGGAUGGACUCGCGGCUUAUCAGCUUGUUGGUGGGGUAGUGGCUUACCAAGGCGUUGACGGGUAGCCGGCCUGAGAGGGUGACCGGCCACAUUGGGACUGAGAUACGGCCCAGACUCCUACGGGAGGCAGCAGUGGGGAAUAUUGCACAAUGGGCGGAAGCCUGAUGCAGCAACGCCGCGUGCGGGAUGACGGCCUUCGGGUUGUAAACCGCUUUCGCCUGUGACGAAGCGUGAGUGACGGUAAUGGGUAAAGAAGCACCGGCUAACUACGUG
rnacentral:rRNA from 1 species